rnacentral:lncRNA from 13 species
CUGGCUUACAAGUCACUUGCAGUUUUGCUAGUGACAUUCAGUGGCAAUUGGAUCAGAUUCACAGUGAAGGAAACCUUACAAAAGCAGCUAAGGGAAAUAAGAAGAAUGAACACUUCUGGUCCCUAAAGACUUUAAAUCCUCCAAACAUUUGCUUUAUCCUUGUUCUCUUUUGGAGGUGAGUGGAAUUCAUCCUUGUUCCUGGACUUACAAUAGAGCUCUGCUGCCUGGGUGACUGCACAAGGGAUUUGGAGAUCAAUCAGGAUCCAAACCAAGCUUCAGCAUCUCAGUUCCUUUCUGCAUUCCGAAAGGAGGAUGGGUAGAAGCAGAAAUAGGAAACAGCAGAAAUCAGACAACACCAUCUGACAAGAACUUUUGUAGAUGUAAACAUCAGAUCUGUGAACAUGAACUCUGGUAAGACUGCAUACUGAUCUGAAAUUCCCAUAUUGAGGUUUCCAGGGGAAGGUUUUG